ensembl:rRNA 5S_rRNA 5S ribosomal RNA
GUCUACAGCCAUACCACCCUGAACACACCCAAUCUCGGAUCUUGGAGGCUAAGUAGGCUCGGGUCUGGUUACUUGAAUGGGAGAAACACUUCUCCACCCCUCCCAGGACUGGUUUGGGAACUAGGGCUGUCCAGG